UAUUCAGAAUCAGUUUCCCUUAACGUCAGUCUCCCACGCCUCGGCUACCUGUUAUCCGCUUAUAAUCCCAAUAUUUCCGCUCCGCGGAGCUUUCUGCUUCUGAUAACAUCAUACUUCUUUUGCUCCUAUACACUUUUCCGCAGCCGCGAGAUUAUCUUGGCACGAUGCCCGGGCAAG
ensembl:snoRNA B0524.10 ncRNA